UACGUAGGGUGCGAGCGUUAAUCGGAAUUACUGGGCGUAAAGCGUGCGCAGGCGGUUUUGUAAGCCAGGUGUGAAAUCCCCGGGCUCAACCUGGGAAUGGCAUUUGGGACUGCAAGGCUGGAGUGCGGCAGAGGAGACUGGAAUUCCUGGUGUAGCGGUGAAAUGCGCAGAUAUCAGGAGGAACACCAGUGGCGAAGGCGGUGCUCUGGGCCGGAACUGACGCUGAGGAGCGAAAGCGUGGGGAGCAAACAGG
rnacentral:rRNA from 1 species